AUCAUAAGAGAUGGUGAGGAU
rnacentral:miRNA from 1 species